GGAAAUGUGCCUGAACAAAGGGUCACUAUGAUAAAGUGAACAUAGAGGUAACCAGUCCUCUCAUUUCCU
rnacentral:tRNA from 1 species